ACCAUAAUCACACACUUGCAUUACCUAACGGUUUUUGGACAGUGCGGAAGUUGCACCGAAACGCAACGUCAAGUAUAUAUACCCUGUGAACACUUGAUCGGUCGCCUGCUCAAUUGACGUCAACUCCAAGGAGACCGGGAACUGUCUACAGAGUGAGGUGUCAGGUCGGCUGGUCACUGACUUGAACUCCGAGUAGGCCGGGAACUGUCUACAGAUUGAGGUACCUAAGGAACAAAAUAGCAUCUCGGAUUCUGAAGACGAUCUGGGCAAUCGUGGCUGUACUGUUCAGGUUUCUAACGGCAGUUAUUGUGGUUAACAUCGGAAAAAUAUGUCCCCGGAUCAUUAGGGGGUGCAGAAAAAACCCUUGAAGGUUCCUCAGUGAGUGGAGCGGACCUGUAUGAGACGUUGCUCAUGCCUAAAAACUGGAAACUGAUUCUACAGAAAUGGUUUCUAGACGUAGCUUUGUACCCAGAUGAGAAUGGUAAAGUGCCAGAUGCAGUUGUCUGGUCAGCAGACGGCAAAACUAAACACCAUCUGGUUGACUUCAUGAAGAAUUGGCGCCCUCUGGUUUUCAACUUUGGAAGCUGUAGCUGACCUCCCUUUAUGGCCAAGUUCAACGACAUUGUUCAAAACUAUGGACAUAUCGCUGACUUUCUUCUGAUAUACAUAAAGGAAGCUUAUCCAACAGACGGGUGGCAUUUCAAGAGCAACAGUUAUUACAUUGAAUCAGCUAAGAACAUGAACGACCGGGUUCAGGCGGCAAAGUUCUUGCGAGAUGAGAAUGUGCGAUGUCCCGUCGUUCUAGAUAACAUAACAGACGAGGCUGUUAAAACAUACUUCUGUUUUCCCGAAAGGGUGUACAUCGUGUUGGAUGGUGUGAUUAUGUUUGUUGGGGGAAGAGGCCCAGGCCAAUACAACCUUCAACCAGUGAAAGAGUGGCUCAUCGCCUACAGUGGGCAGGAGUAGGUAAUGUGCCUGAGGACCGACCAUUGGAUGUACACAAUAUACUCACACGCAAAAGAAACUUUCUUCUGAUAUACAUAAAGGAAGCUCAUCCAACAGACGGGUGGCACUUUAGGAGUAAUAAGUACCAAAUAGAAACCGUCCAAUGUAUGGACGACCGAGUAGGGGCGGCCAUGUUGUUAAGUGACGAUAAUUUGAGAUGCCCUAUCAUUCUGGAUGACAUAACAGAUGAAGCUUGUAUAUUGAGAGGCUGUAUAUUGUCCUAGAUGGCGUUGUGGUGUUCGCUGGAGGAAGGGGCCCGAGAUAAUACAAUACCAAACUCGUGGACGACUGGCUUAGCGCCUACAGAGGGCUCUAGUUGAAACAUGCGCACCCCUGCACCUUGUCUCUCGUCUGUACGCAUAGUAUAUAAUCAACAUUUAAACUCGUAUCCCCGUCUCAGCUAUCGCAUCCCAUAUAGUCCCUACAUUCUAAUCUGAAAUUAAAAGACUUGGGGUUUCUUUAAUACUUGCAGGUCCCUUGUAUAAUGAUUUCAUUUUAACGUUAUUCAUAAGUUUACCACAGGGACUCUUAUGUUAGUCUACCUGCAUCUGUCCUCUCUAGAUCCGCGUAUAUCGUGGAGUCCGCCAUACUGUGGUUCGCCAGACCCAGGUUCCACUGUUUUGAGGCCACCGUGAUAUAACUGGAACAUUGGGAACUGCGGCGUCAAACACACUCCAGCCUAUCUCAGUUUAGAAAUAAGGCUGCAGUUUAAACAAUGGCAUGCUAAUUCGCUUAUGUGGGUUUCAACACUUUGAACGUGUAGAGAUUUCAGGUGUGACUUCAGCACGUAUUCUGGUGUCAGUUGACAGCACCGCGUAUGACCAUGUGACCGGAAAUAUCGGGGUCACGUGUGAUGUCUGGAGAGCUGUCAUCUGGCAUCACAAGGUGUAAACGAUCGUCUGGUCUAGUUUCGUCCAGUAUUAUCAAAAUAAUGUUGAACAUGAAAAUGAUAUAAAAAUUCAGAAUCCCA